CCUACGGGUGGCAGCAGUCGAGAAUCAUUCACAAUGGGGGAAACCCUGAUGGUGCGACGCCGCGUGGGGGAAUGAAGGUCUUCGGAUUGUAAACCCCUGUCAUGUGGGAGCAAAUUAAAAAGAUAGUACCACAUGAGGAAGAGACGGCUAACUCUGUGCCAGCAGCCGCGGUAAUACAGAGGUCUCAAGCGUUGUUCGGAAUCACUGGGCGUAAAGCGUGCGUAGGCUGUUUCGUAAGUCGUGUGUGAAAGGCGCGGGCUCAACCCGCGGACGGCACAUGAUACUGGGAGACUAGAGUAAUGGAGGGGGAACCGGAAUUCGCGGUGUAGCAGUGAAAUGCGUAGAUAUCGAGAGGAACACUCGGGGCGAAGGCGGGUUCCUGGACAUUAACUGACGCUGAGGCACGAAGGCCAGGGGAGCGAAAGGGAUUAGAUACCCGGGUAGUC
rnacentral:rRNA from 1 species